rnacentral:rRNA from 1 species
UACGUAGGGACCGAGCGUUGUCCGGAAUCAUUGGGCGUAAAGAGCGUGUAGGCGGCUUGUUAAGUCUUGCGUGAAAUCUCGGGGCUCAACCCCGAGCGGUCGUGAGAAACUGGCAGGCUAGAGUGUGGGAGAGGUGCGUGGAAUUCCCGGUGUAGCGGUGAAAUGCGUAGAUAUAGGAAGGAACACCAGUGGCGAAGGCGACCACCUGGACUGAUACUGACACUGAGGUGCGAAAGCGUGGGGAGCAAACAGG